GGCCACUGCUAUCGGGCUCCGACUAAGCCAUGCGAGUCUAGGGGCUCUUCGGAGCACCGGCGGACUGCUCAGUAACACGUGGACAACCUACCCUCGGGUGGGGGAUAACCUCGGGAAACUGAGGCUAAUACCCCAUAGACCUCGGAUACUGGAAUGUUCCGAGGCUGAAAGCUCCGGCGCCCGAGGAUGGGUCUGCGACCUAUCAGGUAGUUGGUGGUGUAAAGGACCACCAAGCCUACGACGGGUACGGGCCCUGAGAGGGGAAGCCCGGAGAUGGACUCUGAGACACGAGUCCAGGCCCUACGGGGCGCAGCAGGCGCGAAACCUUCGCAAUGUGCGAAAGCGCGACGAGGGGAGCCCGAGUGCCCUUCCUUCGGGGAGGGCUUUUCUGGAGCCUAAAAAGCUCCAGGAAUAAGGGCUGGGCAAGACGGGUGCCAGCCGCCGCGGUAAUACCCGCAGCUCAAGUGGUGGCCGCUUUUAUUGAGCCUAAAGCGUCCGUAGCCGGACCCGUAAAUCCCUGGGUAAAUCCUGGCGCUCAACGUCAGGAAUUCCGGGGAGACUGCGGGUCUUGGGACCGGGAGAGGCUGGAGGUACUCCCGGGGUAGCGGUGAAAUGCUGUAAUCCUGGGGGGACCACCUGUGGCGAAAGCGUCCAGCUUGAACGGCUCCGACGGUGAGGGACGAAGGCCAGGGGAGCGAACCGGAUUAGAUACCCGGGUAGUCCUGGCUGUAAACGCUGCCCGCUUGGUGUUGCCGGUCUUUCGGGGGCCGGCAGUGCCGGAGCGAAGGUGUUAAGCGGGCCGCUUGGGAAGUACGGCCGCAAGGCUGAAACUUAAAGGAAUUGGCGGGAGAGCACUGCAACGGGAGGAGCGUGCGGUUU
rnacentral:rRNA from 1 species